GACGAACGCUGGCGGCGUGCUUAACACAUGCAAGUCGAGCGCUGAAGCUCCUUUGGGGGUGGAUGAGCGGCGAACGGGUGAGUAACACGUGGGUGACCUGCCCUUCACUUCGGGAUAAGCCUGGGAAACUGGGUCUAAUACCGGAUAUGACCUUUCCUCGCAUGGGGUGGGGUGGAAAGUUUUUUCGGUGGGGGAUGGGCCCGCGGCCUAUCAGCUUGUUGGUGGGGUGAUGGCCUACCAAGGCGACGACGGGUAGCCGGCCUGAGAGGGCGACCGG
rnacentral:rRNA from 1 species